rnacentral:lncRNA from 1 species
UCGAAAACAUGCUAAACACCAACUACUCCUAAAGUUCGAGUGAGGGAAAGACAACUUAGCUAAAAGAAUCUCUAUUUUUGGAUUUUCUAAUUUUUUCAUUUUUUAGGGAUUUUCAUUUUUUAAGAAUUACACUAAAGCCCUCCCCAUACCUAAAUCAUGCAUUGUCCUCAAUGUAUGCAAAAGAGAGAAUUGAAAUGAGAGAGUAAAGAGGAAAAAUACCUGAAUAGG